rnacentral:rRNA from 1 species
GCGUGGGAAUCUACCCAGUAGUGGGGACGAACAGUUGGAACGAACUGCUAAUACCGCAUACGCCCUAACGGGGGAAAGGGAAGGGGACGUCUUCGGAGCCUUUCGUCUAUUGGAUGAGCCCGCGUGAGAUUAGAUAGUUGGUGGGGUAAAGGCCUACCAAGUCUACGAUCUCUAGCUGGUCUGAGAGGAUGAUCAGCCACACUGGAACUGAGACACGGUCCAGACUCCUACGGGAGGCAGCAGUGGGGAAUAUUGCACAAUGGGGGAAACCCGUGAUGCAGCCAUGCCGCGUGUGUGAAG